CAUACCUGCAAACUUCCAUUGGCAAAACUCCCCCCUCUUUUUGUGAUUCACUAAUUUUAAGCACAAAGGCAUUUCUUGCAAAAGUAUGUGAUGUAUAGGCCUGCAGGUUAGAAAUAGUAAAUCCACAGUGAAAGGUUGAAAUGUCCCCGCCACCCUGGGUGGGUGAGUGGGUUUGCUUUGUUUCAUUUGCUAAGAUAAAAAUGACAUUUGGUUAAAAGCAUUUAUAAACCAAUUAAUAUUUUGAAGAUCUCUAAGUGGUCAAUUGAAGUAAAUAGGAAAUUAUGCAAGUCUUGCAUUUAGAAUGGCUUUCCCUAACAUUCAAGAUGUUUGUUGGACUACUUCACCAUUGGCCAUGCUGCCAGGGGAUGAUGGGAAUCGGAGCCCAGCAAGAUCUGAAGGGCACCAGGUUUGGGAAGACUGGCAUUCAAGUGGAUGCAAAAUACCCUCGAGCUCAGAUAUUCCAUUAUCUUACCUGCCCCUCUAGACGAGCACUAACUGGGAGAACAGAUUUUUAUGUCAAUGAUAUCUCUUCUAGUUGUUUGCUGGAGGGCUCUCCAGCAUCUGCUUUUGAGGACCACUGCCAGGCACCCUGACCAGAUGGUGUUGUGAAGUGGGAGCAUGGGGGAAGCUACUUCAGCAAAAUGCAAAUACAUAGUGGGUAUCCAGGUUAAGGGUGUUGCCAUCAGCCACUUUGACCUUCGUGGUGCCUGCAGUGUCACCCCACACUUUGCAGGGCAUUUAUCCAUCACUUUCCUGAUUACAAGAAGUCCAGUCUUUUGAGGAAGUAGGCUUGUUGUUGAAGACCUCCCAAUCAACUAUAAUUGUGUAACCUGAAUUUGCCAGUCUGUGAUUGUACUUACAGCCAAGAUUAGCAAUAGCCUUGAAGUGCCCGUCACAGUGCUGGUGGGAUCACUGUGUGAACCCUCCAGAUUUUCCUCAGUGGAAAAUCUGCAUGAUUCAGAAAGUAGGUACCCCUUUCUGGUGACUAUUUUCUAGCUCUGAAUUUGACAGCACAUCAAAUUACCUGCAGAAGUUGUACACCAGCGCUGUAAGUGGCAACGACACUGAACAUCAUAAAAUUCACACAAAUUCCUCAGCAUACUAUCACUACAUCUGUGAGAGGACAGGGACAUCUUUUUCUGCAUCCUUCCUUUCCCUGUUUUUGGUAACAUGAAUUUGUAAGCAGUCAAUACACUUGCCACCUACUCGAUCUAAAUGCAAAUUUUGAGCCCACCGUUGCUCUCUUCUCUUUUUAAUGAAAAGAUAUUAAUCUUUUGAGCGAAUGCAUUUUGGUGUGAUCUCUGCAUUACCUUCCCAGGUACCUGUGUUUACAUUUGCUUUUACCAACAAACUCUUUUCUCUCUUAAAGUUUUGUCCUCUGUAAAUUAGAACACUAACCCUGUUUAGGGCUGCUGUUUAGAAGCUAUCUGCUUUGUCUUUCAGAUGCUAAAACAUAAAGGGUGUAAUCUCGGGGGAAAGGCAAGUUACAUGCUUCACAAUCCUUCCUUCACGGGAGGAAAUAGUUCCUUCCAAAUAAAGUAGAGGAAAUAAAAUACACUUUCACUUCAAGGCUGUCUGUUGGUAUUAAUUUGUUAGAAGAAAGGAACAGGGCUGGCUCAGACUAAUUCAUUGCCUUAGGCAAAAAAUAAUUUUGUCCUCUCUUUGAAUAUGGUUGCAUGUAGCAGGAGAGUUUGGAUGUCAUUCUAAACCAUGGUUUAGCAUGAUGAAUAUAAGAUCUAGUGAACCUUAGGCUUAUGAGCUUUCCUCACGGCCAUCCCUUCUCCUCCUCUGGCACAGCCUUGAAGAAUUCAGAAGCAUCCUCUUCCAUUUUUGUUUAAUCACCAGCAACUGUGGUUAGCAUUAGCUAUGGUUUGCAUGAGUCAAAAUGGCUUCCCACCAAAGUUUAUGGAGCUGCUAUGCUUAAGCAAGCCACUGUUAAUAUUAACCACAGUUUAGGGUUUGGUAUAAAUGAGAAGCCACAUUGUGGGAAAUGGAAGUGACAACAUCUGAACUCUUCCUUUGGAUAAAGGAUAGAGGGAAUGUGCACGUCUGAGGUUCACUGGGGUCUUGUUUUCAUCCUAUUAAACCAGGGAUAGCCAGCAGAGUAUGCUGUAUGCUGUUUGGACUCCAGCUCCCCAGCCAACAUUGCCAAUGGUUAGGAGAAAUUGGAUUUUAAGUCCCCACAUCAUCCAGAGAGCACCAUAUGGACUACCUCUGCACUAAACUGUGGUUUGGCUUAGAAGUGCCUUAGGAUCUGACCUGUGGCAUCCCCUCCUUAACCCCUUUCCCCUCGUGCUGCUUAGGAAAAAUCUCCAGUUUGCAUGAUUUUUUAAAAAAUUAUUAUUCCAAGUCCGUUUGCUGUGUAAGGGGCAGCAGGGAGGAGAGGAGAGAAAAAGAGAAAGGAGGAGAAAGGAGGGCAGAAAGAAAUGAAGAUAAAUGCAUACAGAGAGAGAGAUGGGAUGUGGCACAAACAAACUGAGUGAACCAUCACUAGCUCUGAACUUUGCAUCUGGCACAGUUCAAGAGUGGGAGUUGAAACCCAGGGACUAAAUGCUUUCAAGACUUUCUCAAGGUCACACAUCUCCACAUACCUCACCUUCUCCCCCUGGGCCACACCGACUUACCCUAGGCCACCCAUUACAUCACCUUCUUUCCCCAACUACACUUUUCUUUCACCUCCUCACCGGUCUUGCUUCACACACCCUUUAGUGUUCUUGCCUUGACAACAUGUGUUCUAGAACUCUGAUAAAUCCCUCUUCCCUGAGUGGCUGGAGGAUAGAGGUGUGUGUGCACAGAUAUGUAGGACAAACAUUUGCUACCCAUUAUGGUUAAGAAGGAGAGAGCUUAAGUACUAUGUUGGGUUUGUACGACAAGCUAAACCAAAUAUUGGUUUAGUUUCUGCUCCGUGCUGACCUAAAAAGUCUAGGGAGGAACAAAAUAACUAUGUUCUCCUCCUCAGGAACCAGAAUUUUCACGCAUUUGUGCUAAGCUUAGUCAGUGUGCCAUGUGAACAUGAUCAUAGGCCAGGAUCUAUAAAAAGGGAUUGGAAACCCCAGUUUUUCAGCUUGAUGGUAGCUCAAAGCCUAAAGACAUUUAGUCUGCUAUGCCUUUUAUUGGUGGUGGCAGUUGUGUACCAUUGAAACGGGGAAGGAAGGAAGGAGGGAAGGAAGGAAGGAAGAAAGGAGGGAAGGAAGGGGCUGACUAGAUAGGAGAGCAGAAGGAAUUCCUCUCCAGUUCAGAUUAAUAUGCAAGAGCUGGAUAAUAAUUGGGAGGUUGUAAUACUCACUUUGGGAUUAAGGCAGGCAUUACAAGACCCCCAAGUUUGUACAGUAUUCCCAAAUCUAGAAGUAAGAGCUUCAGAAAAUCUCUACAUAAUCCAGUAUGGGACACAGAAACAAAACAAAAUCCCUUUGCAAGUAUCUUCAUGCCAACACUCCUAAUUUACAUAAAUAUUAGCUGGCAAAACUCUUCCAAACCUUUCAUUAUGUUAUUAUCAUUCCCUUUUCACUUUCACAUACUUCAACAGGUAGUUUAAUAGUCAGAUUGUAUUUUUUUUUAAAGAAGACUGACAUUAAUAACGAGUGCAUUUUCUUUUCCAUUACAAUCUUUGAUAGAUGAACAAUAUAACACAUCAGGAGCAUCAUAAAUGAGUGUUAAAUCUCAAGGACACCCCAUGCUUUUGGAUGUGGAAUAAAGCAUCUUGUAGAACAGGCCAGCAUGUAGGGUUUAUUCACACUUUGAAUGGCAGAUGACUUCACUGUUUGUCUCUUGCUUGUAUCCCUGUCAGAGCCCAAGCAUAAUUUCUCUGGGAUUGAUAUCAACCUUUUUCCACAGGUCUCCUCCUAGGGAUGGAGGAUAAUUUUGUUAAAUCUGUGUUUUAACUAGAACUUAUCUUAUUUGUACACAGUGAAGGCUAGGCUGAGGGACAGUAACUGGCCCAAGGUCACUCAGUGAGCUUCAUGGCUGAAUGGGGAUUUGAACCUGGGACGUCUGGGUCCAAGUCCAACACUCUAACCACUGCACCACACUGACACACUUGACUAGGCAUUGCCAAAUCUGUGAAUUUUGGUUUCUCACUGUUUCUCAUUUUUCCAGUCUAAAGUUCCGUUCUUGAAAUUUUCAACUCAGUUUGAGAUUUAUUUGUAGAAGCCCUCAUGAAAAUUCCCCAGCAUUUGAGUGAGACCUUCUCCAAAUAUACCUAUUUUUGUAUGCAAUUUUGUCUAAUAUUCACAUUUUUAUAUGCAGCUUUUACUAAUGUAAUAUAUUUUUGUUAGUUGCUUUCACUAAGACAUGCAUGCUUUAUCCUUACGUAACUAUUUUUGUAAGCUUUAUGUGGCUGGAUUGCAAAAUUUGGAGAAGUGUAAUUUUCAAAGGGUGACAGUUUGACAUGGCACAAUCCGUUCUACCAUUUCAGGACUUUACUAUCACGUUCUGUUGCAUCUGUAGAUGGAACCUAGGUAAAUCCAGAUUAACAGAAAUGGGAGGUUCUAUACCAAAAAUGAGGAAGGCUGUUCAUGUGCAUUUAAUACCACAGGAAAGAAUAAAAAAACUGAAGGCUCUACAAAGGGGUCUGUUCUGUGCCUUAACAUCAUACAAAUAUGAGUCUGCUAGAUCAGGCCAACAGCCCAUCUAGUCCAGCAUCAUGUUCUCACAAUGGCCAACCGCAUGCUUGUGGGAAACUGGCAGAACUGGAUCACCACGUCACUCUCUGUUGAAUUGAAUUGAAUUUAUUAUUUUGGUCACAGACCAGUUCCAGCUCACAUACAUUAUCAAGGAAGUCAUAAAACAUGAUAGGGAUACAUUUGAAUUUGCAAUUAGGUAUAACAGGGACAAUACAGAUAUAACACACAGUUAAAAAAAUAUAAAUUAAAACUUAGUCACUAAAAUUCAACCUAAAAUUAUCAUUUAAGGCCUUAAUCAUUAUGAUAGCACAGAUUUGUUCCCUAAGUUUUAUGGCAAUCACACAGAAUUUGGCUACCCUUAACGUGAUCUCAGGAUCCUUGUCCUCUCCCAGGGAUUUUAGACACUGAAGUUCAGACUUGCACUCUCCAUUACUGUUGUUCCCAGAAAUUGAUAUUCUGCCUUUGACAGUGGAGUAAGAUCAUAGUCAUUGCAGCUUAAUUGUUCAAGGAACCGACUUGUGGAACUUUCUGUGUUUCUUUCUCCACCCCUUUCUGCCGCAGCAAUGCCUCUUUUUUCAGACGGUGCAAUAUAUACAAGUCCUCAAAGAAUAAAGAAUUGUUAACUUGGCUAACAGAGCAGUUUCAUGACACCCACCCACAUGUUGUUUCUUUCCAGGAAAGUGAAAGGUGUAAUUGUACUGUGAUUUCCUCCAGGAACUGAUUUUUUUUCUUGUAAACAGUAGGGCUAAAUCUUGUGUCUCACCUUUCUUCUUAAUCCGCACUCAACAGUAGGAGAGCUUAUACUGAGCCUAGCCCAGUGUUGUCAAUAUUGACUGGCAGCAGCUCUCUGGGGUUUAGGGAAGGAGUCUCUCCUAGCCCUGCCUUGUAAUGCCAGAGAUUGAACCUAGGACCUUUUGAAUGCAAAGUAUGUGCUCUGCUAGGGGUGAAAGAAGGCAUCAUUUUUCAUCCCUCCCUGUAUUUGUCACAAGCAACACUGUUUCUGUUCCACUCUGUUCCAUCUUCUGCAAAAAAAAAAAAAAAAGCUACAUUGUUUGUCUUGAAUAAUUUACGUAAUUUCCAUAAGUAAUUAUGUAAAUUAUGUCAUUACAUCAUUCCACCCUAUUCAUUUCAAUGCAAAGGAAACACAACACACAUGUGUGUUUGGGGGCAGGGAGACGUAAUCAAUUAUGUAUUGUUCUUGGACUGUAUAAAACAAUGGGGAAUACUGAUUGCAUUAUUUGGACAAAGGGAUAAAGGACAAAUAAAGGAACACCAGCAAUUUCUGCUCCCAUUUCCAUUUUUAACAGAAUUGUCUGUCAUCCUUGAACACUUCCUCCCCCCACUCUCCCCCAAACAUGCAACUGUCUACUACAGAACACAUCUUUUUCUUCAAUGGCAGGGCGUAGAUAUGAGUUCCUAACACUGGGGAAACACAACCCAUAGUGAGGGAUGAGGACAGCCAUCUCCCCCACUCCCACCAAAAUUCUCAUAUAUUAGAUAGAACAUCUAAACCACACAACAAUGGUUGUGGAAUCAGGACACACACACACCCGCCGCUGCCGCCAAAUUCUAAUAUUCCUGUUAGGUAUCUGUUCACGCAGUGAUAACCCCAUUAAAAUAUGUUGCUCUUAGGAGAUCAAACCAUUAUCUCAUGCUGAGAUGACUAGGCUAUCAGGCAAUAAAUGAUCACGAUGACGAUAAAACCAUUAUCUGAAUCUACCAUAUAUGUAUUUCCCAUCAAAUAAAUGUUAUCUGUAUCAAGCACAAAACCAGUUAGUUCUCCUAGGAAAUUACACUUCCCUUAUAAAAUAUACUUUAACCUAGUGGUCUCUCUCUCUCUCUCUCUCUCUCUCUCUCUCU